rnacentral:ncRNA from 17 species
UGCUCAUCCAGAGGGGUGGAGGGACACGGCCCUGUGAAGCCCCGGCAACCAUCCCGGUGGACGUUGCUCGUCAGGUGCGAGGCGGCCGGGACAGGUGCCAACUCCGUCCCACUGUCAAGGUGGCAGUGGGGAAGAUGAGGG